AUGAACCAGAUCAGAGAUCAGACCAGACACCAGACCCACGCAACCCACUCCACCAUCGGCCAUCGCGCUUUUCCCAUUCACUCGCCGCCGGCGCCGCCAUGCUCCGGCUCAGGUGCUGCCUCCUCACCCAGCUCCUCUCGUCUCCCUCCGCAUCUCCCGCCUCCCAGCUCCGCCGCCGCGCCCGCCAUCUUCCCGAACCCUAGCUUCGACGUGGAGGGGUACCUCGUCUCCUCCUGCGGCCUCACCCGAGCACAGGCCCUCAAGGCCUCCGCCAAGCUCUCCCACCUCAAGUCCCCUUCCAAGCCCGACGCCGUGCUCGCCUUCCUCGCCGGCCUCGGCCUCUCCGGCGACGACGUCGCCGCCCUCGUCGCCAAGGACCCGCUGUUCCUCUGCGCCAAAGUGGAGAAAACCCUGGCCCCCGUCGUCGCUGGGCUCACCGGCCUCGGCCUGUCACGUUCUGACAUCGCGCACCUCGUCUCGCUCUCCCGUGACAAAUUCCGAUGUAGAUCCAUCGUCUCCUAUCUACAAUACUACCUGCACCUCUUCGGCUCCUUUGAGAACCUCCUCCCUGCUCUCAGGCACGGCUUAUGCCUUCGUUCGGCCGGCCUAGAGACAGUUGUCAAGCCCAAUGUUGCGUACCUUCAAGAGUGCGGGCUAGGUAAUUGCGACAUUGCCAAGUUGUGUAUCGUUCAACCAUGGCUGCUCACCUCAAACUUAGAGUACGUCCGGGCAGUGGCGGCACGAGCCGAAGGUAUUGGUGUGCCCUGUGGCUCUGCGAUGUUCAGGCGCGCGUUGUUGACUAUUGCACGCCUCAGCAAGGAGAAGAUCGACGCCAAAGUGGAGCACUUGAAGAAGACGUUCAGGUGGUCAGAUGCUGAGGUGCGCAUUGCUUUGUCCAAGUCUCCAGGGAUGCUGAGUUUUUCUAGUGACAGGCUGCAGCGCAUCUCAGAGUUCCUCAUCUCCAAGGCAGGGUUGGAACCAGCAUACAUUGCUCAUCGGCCGGCAAUGCUCAAUUAUAGCCUGGAGGGCCGGAUCAAACCCCGUCACUAUGUUGUAAAGUAUCUCAAGGAAAAUGGAUUUCUAGAUCAUGACCGGGACUACUAUAGUACACUCUGUAUCAGCGAAAAGGUAUUCAUGGAGAGGUUCAUAUGUCCUCACAAGGAAGCUGCACCCCACCUCGCUGAAGACUAUGCCGAUGCUUGUAGAGGGGAAGUGCCUUUCAGUUUCAGAUUUACAUAA
rnacentral:rRNA from 1 species